AAUACAUCGGAACGUGUCCUCUCGUGGGGGAUAACCAGUCGAAAGAAUGGCUAAUACCGCAUGAGAUCGCAAGAUGAAAGCAGGGGACCCGCAAGGGCCUUGCGCGAGAGGAGCGGCCGAUGUCCGAUUAGCUAGUUGGUGAGGUAACGGCUCACCAAGGCGACGAUCGGUAGCUGGUCUGAGAGGACGACCAGCCACACUGGGACUGAGACACGGCCCAGACUCCUACGGGAGGCAGCAGUGGGGAAUUUUGGACAAUGGGGGCAACCCUGAUCCAGCCAUGCCGCGUGUGUGAUGAAGGCCUUCGGGUUGUAAAGCACUUUCGGACGGAACGAAAUCGCAUGGGCGAAUAUCCUGUGUGGAUGACGGUACCGUAAGAAGAAGCACCGGCUAACUACGUGCCAGCAGCCGCGGUAAUACGUAGGGUGCGAGCGUUAAUCGGAAUUACUGGGCGUAAAGGGUGCGCAGGCGGCCUCGCAAGUCAGGCGUGAAAUCCCCGAGCUUAACUUGGGAAUUGCGUUUGAAACUACGAGGCUGGAGUGUGGCAGAGGGAGGUGGAAUUCCACGUGUAGCGGUGAAAUGCGUAGAUAUGUGGAGGAACACCGAUGGCGAAGGCAGCCUCCUGGGCCAACACUGACGCUCAUGCACGAAA
rnacentral:rRNA from 1 species